AGCAGCCUAACAUCGGCUGCACCGACCCGACCCGCAAUAGCCCAACUCUCUCUUCCUUCUCUUCUAUCAGAAUAUCGACAACAAACAAUUGUAGUAUGCGAACAACUAUUACAACAACAUCGCAAACAAAUUUUCCAAAACCCCCCCCAACAGACCCAAUUUUAAACCCGAAAUCAAUCCCAAACUGCCUUUUUUCCCUUUCUUACUCCUCACAUGAUUAACACGCGAUUUUGUACCAUGAAGGGUCGACAAUCUUCUAGAAAAUAUCGAGGUGGUUCCUAAACGGUUGAAUUCAUACAAAUUUAUACAUAUUUGUGUGAAUUUCAUUGGUUGGGUGUAUAAUCCCUCGUUCCCUAAUUUUUCUUGGAUCACCUAUUUCAAAUUUCUUGAAAAAAGACCAAAAUCAGUACAAGGUUGAGAAAAUUUUUUGUUAUCAUCCAAAAAUAUCUCUUACAAAAAUUCUCAAAUUACCCUUAAAGAUAAAAAAAUGAUCCUUAUAUUAAUGCUCUUUAUUGAGCUAAAAGUUCAAGUCUAAAAGAGUUAAAAAAAACCUUGAGCAAGGAUUUGAAAUUUUUUAGUAAAACAAAAUUCUCAAUUAGUCAGAAGUCUAAAAGCUGCUUUCGGUAGUGGCGAAUUCUGGCGAAGUUUAAGGCACCAUUUUGCUUCCCUGAGAAAGGUUAGUCUUCGAUUCUUCUUUCUUGUCUUGUCGUGUUGUUAUAGUUAUAGCAGUAGUAAUUUUGAUUAUUGCAUUGUAUGUUUAGAAUUAUUGUUGUAGAGGCUAUGAAGGCUAUAGGUUUUUAUUAUGAUGAAAAAUAUCGUUGUGCUAUCUCUCCGCCAAAUUUCAUCUUUUUUCUCUUGUGGAUGUAUGUUAGCUCUUAGUCCUUCCUCAAUAUAAGUGAAAGUGAUAGUUGUAGAAAGUGUUUGAAAGUCAUAAGUCUUCUUUGUUCAGCUCUUGGACUUAAUAUCUUGUUGGUUAGAUCAUUGUUUUGCCUCAUGAUUCUUGUUUUGGUUCUGAAGAUUCACUAUUUAUCUUAAUCUGUGAUUUCCUUUAGUGCCUCUUUUUGUGAUUUUCUAUUGAGGUUCAACGAUUCCUACUAAAUCCCUAACUUAUUUAUACGUGUUCUGCGUAUCUUUUUUAUUCACUCUUUGACAUAAGUGUUUCUGUUGGGCCUUUCUCAUUUUUUGUUCUAGCUUAAGGGUGUGGCUUGUACUACUUCUAUCUACUAUUUUUUAAGAAAAAAGCUUAAUCCGUCUUGUCCAGCUUAACUUCCUACUUGUUUUAGCUUGAAUACUAAUUCUUCAUCUUGGAAACUUUGAUUUUGAUACCUGUGUUCUAUUUUAAAUUCGUGUCUGUUAGGGGUUCUUGUUUGAGGCCUUUGGGAAAAUGUAUUGGCUUGUUGAAGAAUAUUAGGUAUUUAAGUAUCUCUGUUGAAGUAGAAUAUCCUAAUUUUUGUUGUCAUUACGCUAUGUGUAAUUUGUGCUUAAGCUAAGGAUUCCCAAGAAUCUUUCUUGCUCGAUAACAUCAAGAAGAGAGGGGUGAAGUUAUAUUUUUCUUACUCCUAAAAACAAAGUUAGGAGACGGAAUACAUCAUCACAACUGUUUGCUUCUAUCCUCAAGUGCCCACUAUCAGGGAUUUUUUUAUUUUUAAUAUUUGAAAAUAUUUAAUUGUUUUCCCUAGUCUAAUAACUAUAUAUUUUGUGGUCGGGUGCGACAGAUAUGUUAUAAUUGGUCCAGCUGUUGUUUUGUUUAGCUGAAAAGCUCAAAGUUGAAAGGAGAAGUUGUCUUUUUGAAAUGGCUAGUUUUAUAUCUCUUUCUCUGAUUCAUGAGUGGAGUAUUGAACAACUUACUUGCUCUCAGUGUGUACUAUUACUUCUCUUCUAUUAGGUAUAUGCUCUAUUCUAGUUUCAUUGCUUUCAUCAAGUGCUCGUCUCUCAUGUAUUCUUAGAGUUAUUUAUUUUAAAUCAAGCAUGUUACUAGUAUCGAUUAGGCAAAUUGCAAUGUAGACCUCUGUCUUCAUUUUAUGAAUUAAGUGGUUUAGUUAAAUGGGCCUGUUAUCCCCCCAAAUCUUAUAUGAUACUCAUUUAUUCCAGAUUGUUUUAUCUGUUGAAUCCAAGUGUUUUUUGCUUUGUUAGCAAAAAUUAUACGUUUUCAUUUAACAGGUCAGGUCAUAAGUUACCUCUUACUUUCCUUCUUUUCAUUUUUCAUUUUCUAUGAAAGCAUUGGUUGUAUUGUUCUUAUUUUUGUUCAUUUCUUUGCUAUGACUUAGUCUGGAACUAUCUUUUUGAAAUUUGUCUUGAAACAGUAAAGUUUAUAGUUUCCUACAAAGACUGUUUUAAUCGUGAAAUUUUAACGAGUUUAUGAGGUGCUUUCAUGCAAUUUUGGUAUUAAACAUUGUAUUUCAAGUCAAGUACGAACAUAAACGCCUAAUUUCCUAUAAAGGUCGAAUUGAUUCACAAUUUUUUUUGAUGGCUUGAAUGAUGAAUUGUUUAGUUGACUUCCAUGUCUACUUUUAUCUCUCAUUCCUUUCCCAUAUUUCUUCUUUUCAAGUUUUCUGAAAAUGCCUUGUUAAGAUAUGAAUACUCCGAGUUAGUAUUGCGGAUUAGUAAGAAGAUCAAAUCUUGUUUUGAUUACUUGAAAUAUGAAAGCCAAUCCCAUGUGUAGUGUGAAUAUGUUCAAGAUUAUAUAUAGUUUGAAUCAGUUGUGUUUUGUAUUUAUUUUUCGAAUUAACUACUCUCAUUUCGAAUAAAAUUCUAAUCCUCCUCUUUUCUUUGGCGUGAAAAAUCUGUUUGGGGUUCGAGUGGACUUUCCUUUUCUUUGCAUUCAUAAUAGGCAAAUGGGGCCAUCUCUUCGAGUCAACUUCAAGCUAAGUCCAAAAGUUUGUCCUAUGGAGUACCGUAAUAAGGAUAUAGAAGAAGAUAAUGGGUCCAAGCCCAUUGACAUAGCUGCUAGGAUUUGGAGACUUGAAAAGUCUCAUUCUUCAUUAUUUUAUUUAUUUAGUAUUGCUUUACUUGUCUUUAUUCAUUUAGUUACUUAUUUAUUCAUUCAUUCAGGGCCUCAAAGCUAAAGUGGUAAAUUAAUACAGAGAAAGCAGAUUUUGGGCCAAAGGGGUCCGAAAAGAUAGUUUAGGACAGGUUAUAGGCCAAAAGCCUAAUAUUUAAAUUAGGACAGGUGAAAAUGAGCUAAAAGCCCAAAUGAAUAGUUAAGGACAGAGGUAUUUGGGCCAAAAGCCCAAUUAUAUUAGUACAGGAUUGAUGGAUUUUGGCUUACAAGCCUGACUUAUAAUUCUUCCCGUUCCCCUUUAUGUGUUAUUUGAUAUUAGUUUUCUUAGAACUAGUUAAAUUCCCCAUUAAGUCGUCCAAAAUUAAUUUUGCACAAAUUUUUCUCUUAAUCAAUUUUUUUAUAAAAUAAUACCUAUUUAAAUUUAGACAAAGAUGUUGUUUUCAAAUAGUCCGGAUAACCGCAAGUUAAUAGAUACUCUUGGUUCCUUAACCACCUUCCAAGAGUAUUAAUAGGAACCACUUACUCGGAAUUUCAAACUUAAAUAAUUUUUUUCUACUUUGAAUCAUUUAAGUAAUUUCCAAAGGUUUUUUCUUAAUGUUUCUAAAUAAAUUAAGUGGAGACUCUAUUCUUGAGUUUAAAAACUUUUUGAAAGCAAAAAACUCAAAAGUUAUUUCUCCGCAAAACAAAAAUAGCGUCUCUGUUGGGGAGAUUAAGUAGGUUCUAACCAAAUAUUUGAAUUGGCUUCGUUGACUAACUAUUGCAAUUUUUAAACUGCUUAUGCACUUAUAUUUUUAAUUUCUACGAAAUUAAGCUAUUAUAUUUCAUGGCAUAGUUUCCACUCGAAAUAUAUAAAUUGUUUGGGGUUUCGUUGAUGUUCAGGGCCCUAUUGUUCAAUUCUAAAGUAAGUGUUGGGAAUACGACGGUUUAUUAGCAUGUUAGGCGUCUGAUGGCUAUUCAUAUUUCCAAACCCAAGUCGUCCUCCAGGGACCCUGGUCCAAAUCCACUCUAGACACCCAGGAUAGAGCGAAACCAAAGCCACUAGAACUUGAAUCUAAACACGAAGAAGUAAAGAUAGAAGCAUAGGAUAACCAAGAUAGGAAGACAGACACAAAAUUGAUAAUGCAAGGGGAAUCGAAGGUUAUUUCAAACCCUAAAACCUCCCUUAAUGGAUUACCAAUUACCACCUAACUCUUACGUCACCGCAAAGGGGAUUAGAUCUUCCUUACAACCAACGUUUCUAGUCAAGGCUCAAUAUUGACUUUUCCAAGUACUCAUCACUCCCAAUGGACUUUCCAUGAAUACAUCAUGAUAAAUAGUCAACAAAAACUAAAGAAGAAAGACCUAAAUCUAUCUAUUUAUAGUCAAAUAAAAGGCCUAAAAGUCACCCAUUAGCAAAAACAAAAAAUAACCUCAAGGGUGAUUUUCAAUUGAUGACUUCAUCACUAGUCGCCACUGUAGUCGUCAACCAAGUGAUAAGUCAUUGCUUUAGUCAUAACCCUUAACAUAAUGUCAUCUUCAGUGACAAUUCAUCACCUAAGUUAUCAGAAAGGUGAUAAGUCAUCACUUAAGUCAUCUGCCUUAAUAGAAUGUAAUUUUCAGCUUGAUAACUCGUCAGUGAAGUCGUCAACAACGUGAUAACUUAUCAACCAAGCUGUCACUUCUAGGAAGAAUGUUAGUUUUUUUAUCUUUUUAUCCCAAUAAAUUAACCAUACAUGAGAUUGUUGGUUUAGGAGCUCAAAGAAGGUCCUCCAAGUGUAUUCUUGAAUUGUUUGGUUUAUCAUGACUCGGACCUCUUUGUGUUGUCCUCGAAUGAUGUGUUCAAAAAUGUUCGUGGCCAUUUGGCUUGCAUCAUCCUCCCCUUCUUGAAAAGGAUUUGACCUUGAAUCUAUUCCUUGAAAAAUCAAAGGAAGGACAAACAAACACAAAAUCAUCAUGGAAUGAGGGUUAUGGUUAGCACACAAAUCACAUCAUCAUGCCAAGGUUGAACAUAUUUAAUAUAUAUCCAAGUAUCCUUCAUGUUAAACAUUAGAAGCUCGUUGAAAAAUACACAAAGAAGUUGAUUAUGAACAUCAUCAAGAUAUAAGGAAACAAUAAAGGUCUUAAUGACAUCAAUUAUUCCAAAAGGUAGAACUACGUAUACCUUAUGAGCCAUAGGACACAAUUGCUUCAUUAUUUCUUCAACAGACCACACCAAGGGUGGUGCCUCAAUGGCUUCUAAAGUUCACAAGAUCCAUAUAGUAUUGUGACACAAACAAGUGGACAAACCAACAAUUUUCCUACCUCGACAUAAAAAAUCCAAGACUAGCAUGGAUGUCGUCAUAUGGAAAAAAGUAGUAUAGAAAAGAAUCAAGUGUAAAGGCAUCAUCCAAGGUGCUUGUAAUACCCAAAAAUCCAAAUCAAUAUUAAAAACAUUCUUCAAGAUCAUGGAAAAUAAAUUAUAGUGAUUUGGUAGUUUUAUUAGUGAGUUUGAUGUAUAUUAAGGCCUCAAAUAACUCCUAGUUAUUAAAUAAAUCAAAAUAUCUCUUACUGAUUGAGUUCUUGAGAAGGAUGUCGCCAUAGUGAACUUCAAAUGAGAAUAUGUUUUGUUUUACUAAAAAAAUUUUAUGACAUAGCCCACCAACGGUUAGAUAAUUGAAUUAUCUUUUCAACGAUAGCAAUUUUUUCUUAAUCUGAUUUCUGAUUAAAACUUUAUGCUUGUUUUACCAGAGAGCUGUCCUACUGUCGAAGUGCGAUGGCCAGGUUAACGGUCAUCAAGCCAGGCCGUCAACUUCAGGAAGUGAGCUCAUUUUCUACCCAUAAACUGAUUUCUUGAGUGACGGUCAAUCACCAGAGUGACGGUCGGUCACCCAAACCAUCAACCAAGCCCGCUCAAUGAAGGAUUGACAUUUUUAAUGAGGUCUAUGGGUCUUUUUCCACCCUUUUUAACCCCUAAUUCCAUCAACUUAAAAAACAUAACCCCUCACUCAUCCUUAAAAUCAAAAUUAGGGCUUCUUUCAAGAUCAUUCACCAAGAACAAGAUUCAAACCCUUCUUCAAGAAACUAAGAAAUUCAAGUUCUUCAAGUUCAAGAAACAUCAAGAAAACAUCAAGAUUUAUGAUUCCCAAUCCAAGAACGUUCAAGAAAAGUUAAUUCUCUUUCAAGAAUAAUUCUUUAAGGUAUGUUAAAUGUUCAUCCAUGGAUCCUUUUCACCCAUGGAUCCCAAGAACCCAACUUCAAAUUCAAAGUUAUGAUUUUUACAAAUUAUGGGGAUUUUAACCAUGAGUCGCCUUGAAUUUUGAUUCUAUAACAUGUUCCCCAAACAUUAGAAUGGUGUUGUUCACUGAAUUAAACCCUAAUUGGUGAUUUUAGUAGGAAAACCAUGCUAUUACUAUAAGUUUUAAAACUAUUCCCAUACUUAUCUUAAACCAUGAAUUACAAGUGUUUGAUGAAAUGCCCAAAAAAAGGAGUUUUGAAUAAAUGCUUACAUAUCAUGUCCUCAAAGUUUUAGUACAAUCCUUCUAUUAUUAUUAUCGAGUCCUGGGGGUUUAAAUACCCAAAAUUUAGUCGCUUACCUAGUUUUCAAUAUUUAUAGAAUGGUUACAGAAUUUAAAUAGUUAAGCAUAGUCAGCCAAAUAUUUUGGGUCUUUCAGUUGGGAGUAGGAUUUAGCAUCGAGCAAAUGUAGGUAUAACGGCUUCCCCAUCAGUUAGGCAGAGUCAUUAGUAGCAGUCCUUGCAUUCCAGAACUAUGUAGCCGGCGUAGGAUAUGAGGAGUCACCCAUCAAUUUAGGCUUGAUUUUGCCCAGGUGUCACCCAUCAAUUUAUGCUUGACAUCCUAGUUUUUCAGUAGCUUAGUGGAUCCACUCAGCCAUGAGUUAGUACCCGUGGCACGAUAUUGGCACCCUUCCAAUUGGGGUCACAGUUUGGACCCCAAUUUGCUCAUUGGGGCAUGUCGGUUAGAUGAUAGCUCCCAUAGUCUCAGUCCAAUAUUCAGCCCAAUAAUUUAGUUUCAAGUUUGCUUGAACUUAGCAUACAAAUAUAAGUCAUUUGUUUAUCAGUAUUCAGUAUUUUAGUUAACUUAUUAUAUUUAGAACAUGUUUUAUGCUUGGUUAUGCAUUCUCAGUCUUUACCGAUUUUAUGCAUUAUAUUUAGUACUUCAUGAUAUACAUUCAAUCAUCUAUUACUUGUGCACAUAAAACCAUGUAUAUUAGCCUAACCUCAUUUAGCAUACCAGUAUAUUCAAAGUACUGAUCGCAUACUCUUUUCUUAUGCAAUGAUGUUUAAUAUCAUAGGUUUGGAUGCUCAGUUCCCUAAUCGCGCAUAGGCAUACCAAAUUAUCAGCUGUAGUAGUGGUGAGUCCUCAUACUUAGAGGAAAGGGUUUAUUUAUCUUAGUUUACCUUAUCAAUUCAGUAUUUUCUAUUCAGUUGGAGUUAGUUGGGGUUUAUCCCAUCAGCUCCACAGUCAGUCAUUAGAUACUUUUUAGACUAGUAUAAAUAGUUAGCCUUUGGUCGUUAUCAUUAGUCAUUCUAUCAAUGUGGUCAGUAUUAUUUUAUAGACAUUAUCAGAACUAUGUUUUAAAACCUUAUGACCUUUUUUAGUUAAAUUCCAUAUAUGAUCUUUUGAUGUCGGUUAUACUCAGUGCUUAAGGCAGGUACCACUAUCAUAGGUUAGUUUGUGGUCACUUGUCACUAUAGGUACCGUAUGGCAUCCAGGGUGUACUCAUGGGGCUUUACAAACUUGGUAUCAUAGCCUAAGGUUUUAAAGUUUCCUAGGAAGUCUAAAAGCCAUGUUAAGUAGAGUUUUGUGCAUGGGUGUAAAGCCCACCACACUUAUGGACAAGAGGCUACGAGAUAUUUUAAGAAAAGUUUCCCUUCUUUCAGUGUUCAUGUAGUGCAAAAGAGAAUGAUCUUGAUUUAAAAUCACUUUCUAACUCAUCUAUCCUUCUGUGUAUAUAAAAUACCUCCCAGAAAGAACAACAUAAGAAGAAAUAGGAAUGAUCCUACACCUCCACCUAUUUAGGAAGAUCCCCUAAAUGAGCAUGUCUAUCACGCUAAAUUUAGAGUUUCCUUCACUACUUUAUCCUAUUCAGUGUUUAUUAGAACAAUCUACAGGUUGUUGUCCUAGCUAGGCUUUUGACUUAUGCUCAGAAAAGUGAGGAGAGAGCGUAGAAAGAAAGAGAGAAAAAAAUAAGAGGGCCAGAACAAGUAAUUUUAAUCUAAGGUUAGGGGGUAGUAACCGCUCCUAAUUCCAUCAAAAAUUCUCAGCCCUAGCUUUGCCUUUAACUAGUGUUCCAGUGCCUAAGUUUAAGAAUGAUUGUCAAAAUAGAACACUAGGCUCUAAGUCACAAGGUAGUGGAAAAGGUAUUCGUACUAAUUUGGUUUGCGAAGAAUAUCACAGGAAUCAUAAGAGUAUUUGUAGAGCCGGUAGUGAUUUGUGUUUUGGGUGUGGAAAGACAGGCCCCAAAGUUAGAAUUUCCCAACAAGUGGUCAGCAGGGAAAAUCCAAUCGUCCUCCAAUUCCAUUCUAUCACCCGACUCAGCAGGGCACCACUUUUAGUGCCACCAAUGGUUAAUGUCAGAAAAGACUUUAUGAACACCAGUCUCAACAUGAUCAGGAAAUUUCAACUAAUUUGGUUACGAGUAUGUUAUCGGCCUUUCAUAUUGUUAUGUAUGUUUUACUAGAACUAGAGCUUCACUUUCUCUUGUAACCCUCCUAUAUAGCUGUCAACUUUGGUGUCAAACCUGAAACAUUAGCAGAUCCCUUCUCAAUGUCUAUAUCAGUGGGUAAAUCUACCAUUUCCAGGUGAGUAUAUAGAAAUUGGUUGGUUACAGUAUCCUAGAAAAACACUUCAGUUGAUUUCAGAAAUAAAGUCCUUCAAUUUCAGUUUCUCGAUGAACUAGUCAUUUAAUGGGGGGUAAUACCUCAGUCUUAGGGGUCAGAUGUGUUUUUAGAGCCCUUCUCAGAAUCUUAUAAUAGUAGAUGGCCUAGAAUUAGAAGCAUAAACCUAGAAGUUUAGUAACAAUAGAGUGGGGAUAGUAUUAUCUGAAUUUGGUGAAUUACGUAUCCAUAGGUCUAAUUGUAUGAAAAGUAAUCAGUAGGCUUAAAAUAGUGUAUUCAAGAUAUUAAGCUAUGUAUUAUGGUAUGGGUGUGCUUAUUCAGCAUCCUUGAGUGCUAAGUUUGAAUGGGGUUAUUGAUGUAGUAAUUGAUGUUCUUACCAGCUCCAUUAUGGAUUAUAAGAUGUUGAUGUCAGAUGUUCGGGUGCAAAAGUAGUUCUCAUGGUUUAGGGAGAAAUAUAAGUUUAAAGAUAGGAAAAUUGUAGGUUAUGAUAAAAGUAGUAUGGUUAUUAAAUAUUUUGGGAUAUCCAUGUUGUGUUAGAAUCUAAGUUUGAAUCUUUGAAGGUUGAGCUAAUAGAAAGAGGAGUUGAAAAUUCUAAGUUAGUCAAUUUUAAGUUGUUACAUAAUGAUUGUUGGGGCUAUAGAAAGGUAUGAGUUGUAUCUCAGAAGAAAGUACUAGUAGUAAGUCUUACAUUAUUGGGUAUAGUCAUUCAGGUGAGUUUACCAACUAUAUGUAUUAUUACAUCCCAGAUUCUAGAGUACGAUGGUGGCAGUUCAGUUUAGAAAUAUUGAUUAAGUGGUUCCAAGACUUAGAAUUGUGAAUUUAAGAUAAGGGGGAGAUGAUGGAACAAUUAACCAAGUUAGGCUCUCAGAUUCUAGUAGUGAUACUAGAGUGUUGUAGAACAACACUAGGGAAGAAGAUGUCGGACCCAUGCUUAUUUCAGUAUUUGUACUUCAGUUAUCAUAAUAUGUCAGCUCUAUGACCAUAGCUCAUAUUCAUGCACUUUAUAGAAAAUCAUGUACUCUCCUAGUACCUAGUAUGAGGAGUCCUAGUUCACCCAACAGUAUGAAUCAUAUUCCAUGAAUUCAAAAACUCCAAACUCAGGUCAUGCAGUUCAUGACUAGUGUAUUCAUGUUUUAAAGUAUGCUCAGUUUCCAUUACUAAUGCUACACUCUUAAUGACCAGAAAAAUUCAGAUUUGUGUCAUGUAUGUCCUCAGUUUAGACCUCUUUAAGGAAUUCAUUUCAUUUAUACUCUAUUCCUCAGGCCACAGUUAAGUGUCCAAGUUAUGCAUGGUAUUUCUUCCAUACUUCAGGAUCUCAUAUUCUAACUUUUCAGUGACCUUCCUUUAUGAAAUAAUGGUGAUGAUGAGUAAUUUGUUUAGAUAUGAGAAAGUAAAUGUUUCAUGUUAAGGAAAGAUUUUUGCAUGCUUGUUUUACAUGAGGCGGUAGUUAUGAAGAUAGGCUUGAAUGUCAUGUUGGUGUGUAAGUAGAUAAAUGCAUUACGUGUUGGUGAAUGGCUAGUAAAAGUUUGUAUUUCAUUAUUGAAGGAGUAAUCAGAAGUAUUUAGAAGAUGGGAAGUUAUUAAAAUGCAUAGUGUAUUGAAUUCAUGACUCAGACUAAUAUUACAGUGUUAUGUGGACAUUGUAUAGAUUUGAGUAGGCUUGAACAUAGCGGGAGAAUUUAGACCAGCUCAACCCUCAGUAGAUAGAGUUAUCGUGCCCAUGUGAAUAUUUUUAGUAGCCUUAAGUGAAGUACGAUGUUGAAGUACAAAAUAAAGUUGAGGGAGUAGGUGAGAAGUGUGUCUAAGAUUGUAAGUUAGUAGUUGUAGUACAUACAGCUUAGUAACUCUAUCCUAGCUAAUGUUUCGUAGGCCUGUGUUCCAUAUUACAGAAUUUUAGCCAUGUUGUGAUUUCUUAUUGAGAUGUCCUAUUCAGACCAUGUUAAGAUUCUCUGCUCCCUAAUAUCAUUAGAACUUUAUGGAAAGAAUGUCAAAGAAAUACUCUAGUUAAGUAUAAGCUUUUAGUACGAGUUAGUUUGUAUAGCCAGUAAUUUGGUUUAGCAGUUAGGCAGACAAGUUCCUAUGGUUUUCAUCUCUCUUAUUCAAGAGGAAAUUCCUUCACAACCAUGCAAGUCGUAACUUCAAUUCAGUCCAUGCAUCAGGCAUAAGUUUUAGAUUCCAGCUAUUUAGUCAUGAUUCUCGUGUAUCAUCUCAGUCUUUCCUCAAUAUUUUAGCCAUGUUAGUGUCUUUCGGGGGACAUAUUAUCCCAAGGGCAGAUGUAAUAUAAACCCCCAAGCUUUCAUGUUCUAAACCUUCUAUCUUCUUUUCACGUAACAAGAUUUAGCUUAAAGUAAUGGGUAAAAAUAAGUUGACUCUCUCAUUCCAAUCUCAACCUUAUAACCAUUCUCAUGUCAUUACAUAUACUCAAGCAAAUCAAUUUAGUUCAUGAUAUUAAAUUCAUGUAUCAUGUUUCAGACCCAAUUAUGUUCUCAUGUUCCCAAUCAUGCAUAUUCAGUAUAUGAUCUCAGAUUCUUCAGUACUCUCAGCUAAACUAGCCUCAUUCGAGGAUGAAUGUUUCCAAAGGGGAGAUAUAGUACUACCCCAAAAAUCCAAACUAAUAUUAGAACCAUGAUCAAGAUCUUGCAAAAGAAAUUAUAGUGAUUUGGUAGUUUUAUAAGUGAGUUUUAUGUAUACUAAGGCCUCAAAUAACUCCUUGUUAUUAGACGAAUCAAAAUAUCCCUUACCGAUUAAGUUCUUGAUAAGGAUGUUUCUAUAGUCAACUUCAAACGAACAUAUAUCUCAUUUUACUAAUAAUUUUUUAUCUCAUGACCCACAAAUAAUUAGAUAAUUGAAUUAGCUUUCCAAGUACCAGUUUACCCUUAAUCCAAUAUUGGGGUAAAAUGUUAUACCCAUUUUACUAGAGAGUUGUCCAACUACCGAAGUGUGACGGCUAGGUUCAUAAACCAUCAAGCCAGGCCAUCAAAUUCAGGCAGUGAUCUCAUUUUCUAGCCAUAAACUGGCCGAUUAAGUGAAGUUCAGUCACUAGAGUGACGUUCCAUCACCCAAAUCGUCAACCAAGCCCGUACAACAACGUAAUGAAAUUUUUCAUGAGAUUUUUGGGUCUUUCCACCCUUUUUAACCCUUAAUUCCAUCACAACAUAACUCCUCAUUCAUCCUUAAAAUAAAAUUUAGGGUUUCUUUCAAGAUCAUUCCUCAAGAACAAGAUUCAAACCCUUCUUAAAGAAACUAAGAAAUUCAAGUUUAAGAACCAUCAGGAAAACAUCAAGAUUUCUGUUUCCCAAUCCAAAAACGUUCAAGAAAUGUUAAUUCUUUUUCAAGAUUAAUUCUUUAAGGUAUGUUAAAUAUUCAUCCAUGGGUCCUUUCCACCCAUGGAGCCCAAGAACCCAACUUCAAAUUCAAACUUGUGAUUUAUACAAGUUAUUGUGAUCUUAACCAUGAAUCCCUAUGAAUUUUGGUUUUAUACCAUAGUUAUAUCAAAUUGUUAUUGUUAUUAAUCCCCACAUAUUUUAAUGGUGUUGUUCACUAAACCUUAAUUGGUAAUUUUAGUAGGGAAAACAUGCUAUUACUACAAGUUUUAAAACUAUUCCCAUACUUAGCUUAAACCAUGAACUACAAGUGUUUGAUGAAAUGCCCACAAGAAAGAGUUUUUAAUAAAUGCUUACAUAUCAUGUCCUCAAAGUUUAAGUACAAUCUUGCUAUUAUUGUUAUCGAGUCCUGGGGGUUUGAAUACCUAAAAUUUAGCUGCUUACCUAGUUUUCAGUAUUUAUAGAUUGGUUACAAAUUAGUUAUGAGCCCUAUCGUUUCAGUCAGUAUUUUAAAUAGUUAAGCAUAGUCAGUCCAAUAUUCUAGUUCUUUCAGUUAUAAGUAGGAUUUAGCACCGAGCGAAUGUCGGGAUGACAGUUUUCCCAUUACUUAGGCAAAGUUGUAGUAGCAGUCCUUGUAUUCCAGAACUAUGUGGCCAGCGUAGGAUAUGUGGAGUCACCCAUCAGUUUAGGCUUGACAUCCUGGUUGUUCAGUAGCUUAGUGGAUCCACGCAUCCAUAUGUUAGUACCUGUGGCAAGGUAUUUCCACCCUUCAAACUGGGGUCACACGUUGGACCCCAAUUUGCAUAUUGACGCAUGUCGGUUAGAUGACAGCUCCUACAGUCUCAGUCCAGUAUUCAGCUCAGUAAUUCAGUUUUAGUUUUACUUGACCAUGGAAUACAAAUAUAAGUCAUUCAUUUAUCAGUAUUUAAUAUUUUAGUUUGUAGAUUAUAUUCAGAACAUAUUUUAUGUUUGGUCAUGCAUUCUCAGUCUUUACAGAUUUUAUACAUUCUAUUCAGUACUUCAUGCUACACAUUCAGUCAGUUAUUACUUGUGCACAUCAGACAUGCGUAUUAGCCUAACCUCAUUUAGCAUACCAAUACAUUCAGAGCAAUGAUCACAUACUAUUUUCUUGUAUUAUGAUAUUUAAUAUCAUAGGUUCAAAUGCUCAGUCCCCUGAUCGUGCAUAGACAUAUGAGAUUAUUAGCUGUAGCAGUGUUGAGUCCUCAUUCUUCAAGGACAUAGUUUAUUUUUCUCAGUUUACAUUAUCAUUUUAAUAUUUUCUAUUUAGUUGGAGUUGGUUAGGGGUUUGUCCCAUCAUCUCCACAGUUAGUCAUUAGAGGCUUUUUAGACUAGUACAAAUAGUUAGUCAGUGUUUUUGUUCUUAUCAUUAGUCAUUUUAUCAGUGUAGUUAGUAUUGUUUUACAGAUAUUAUCAAAAAUGUGUUUUAAAAUCAUAUGGCAUUUUUAGUUAAAUCCUACAUAUGAUCUUUUGAUAGCGGUUAUACUCAGAGCUCAAGAUAGGUACCACUCUCAUGGGUUUGUUUGUGGUCACUUGUGACAGUAGCCACCGUGUGGCAUCCACGGUAUACUCUCGAGGCUUUACAAAAUUGGUAUCAGAGCCUAAGUUUUUAAAGUGUCCUACGGAGUCUACAAGUCAUGUUGAGUAGAGUCUUGUGCUUGGGUGUGAAUCCCCCCACAUAUAUGGACAAUUGUCUACAAGAUAUUUUAGGAAAUGUUUCUCUUUUUUCAGUGUUCAUAUCGUGUGAAAUAGCAUGAUCUCUAUGUAAAAUCUCUUCCUAACUCAUCUAUCCUUUCGUGUAAAGAAAAUGCCUCCCAAAAAGAACAACGAAAGAAGAAAUGGGAAUCAGCCUGCAACUCCAUCUGUUCAGGAUAACCCCCUGAAUGAUGAUGUCUCUAAUGCCAAAUUCAGAGCUGCUUUCACUACCUAUACAUAUUUAGUAGUUGCUCAGAAUAAUCUGAAGGCAAUUCUCCAAUCUAGGCUUUUGAUUCAUGCUCAGUAGAGUGAUGGAGGAGCAUCAGAAGAAAGAGAGAAAGAAUAAAAGGGCCAGAACUAGUAGUUUUAAGCCAAGGUUAGAGGUACUAACCGCUCCCAAUUCUGUAAGAAAUUCUCAUCCCCAGCCUCUCCUUCAGCCAGUGUGCCAAUGUAUAAGCUUAAGAGAAAGGUUGAAAUUGAGCACCAGGCUCUAAGUCACAGGGUAGUGGGGAGGGUGUUCAUACUACUCUGUUUUGUGAAUAAUGUGGCUGAAAUCAUAAAGGUAUAUGUAGAGCCAAUAGUGAUCUGUGUUUUGGGUUAGGAAAUCUUGGCCACAGAGUCAGAGAUUGCCCAAAGAGUAGUCAGUAAGGCUAGUCCAACCAUCCUCUAAUUUUAUCUGUUACCCAGCUCAAUAAGGUGCCACUUCUAGUUCCCCAGUAGUUAACGUCAAAAAAGACUUUAUGAACUCUAGUCCUGACUUUAUCAAGAAAGUUCUCCUGAUGCGGUUAUGGGUAUGUUGCAGGCCUUUCAUAUUCCUAUGUAUGUUUUACUAGACCUAGAGCUUCACUUUCUCUUGUAACCCCCCUAUAUAGCUGUCAACUUUGGUGUACAACCUAAAAUAUUAGCAGCGCCCAUCUCAAUGUCUACUUCAGUGGGUAAAUAUAUCAUUUCCAAGUGAUUAUACAAAAAUUUCCUAGUUACAAUAUCCCAGCAAACCACUUCAGUUGAUUUCAGAAAUAGAGUCCUUCAGUUUUAGUUUCUCGAUGAAUCAGUCAUUUAAUGGAGGGGUAAUACCUCAAUUCAUAGGGAUCAGAUGUGUUUUCAGAGACCUUCUCAAAAUCCUAUAACAGUAGAUAACCUAGAAUUAGAAGCAUGAACCUAGAAGUUUAGUACCAAUAAAGUGGGGACAGUAUUGUCUGAAUUUAGAGGAUUACGUAUCUAUGGGGCUAGUUGUAUGAAAGGUAAAUCAGUAGGCUUAAAAUAGUGUAUGCAAGAAUUUAAGCUAAGUAUUAUGGUGCGGUUGUGCUUAUGUAGUAUCCUUGAGUGCUAAGUUUGAAUGGGGCUAUGAUAUAGUAAUUGAUUUUCUUACCAGCUCCGUUAUGGACUAUAAGUUAUUGAUGUCAGAUGUUCAAGUGCAAUAGUAGUUCUCUUGGUUUAGGGAGAAAUAUUAGUUUAGAGAUGUGAUAAUUAUAGGAUAUUAUUAAUGUAGUAUGGUUAUUAAAUAUUUUGGGAUAUCAAUAUUAUGUGUUAGAAUCUAAGUUUGAAUCUUUAAAGGUUGAACUAAUACAAAGAGGAGUUGAAAUUCUAAGUUGGUCAAUUUUAAGUUGUUACAUGAUGAAUGCUAGGGCUAUAGAAAGCUAAGAGUUAUAUCUUAGAAGAAAGUACUAGCAGUAAAUCUUAUAUUGUCGAGCAUAGUCAUUGAUGGUGAGUUUACCAAUUAUGCGUAUUAUUACAUCCCAGAUUCUAGAGUAAGGUGGUGGUAGUUCAGUUUAGAAAUAUUGAUUAAAUUGCUCCAAGAUUUAGAAUGAUAACUUUAAGCUAAGGGGGAUAUGAUAGAACAAUUAACCAAGUUAGGCUCUCAAAUUCUAGUAGUGAUAGCAGAGUGUUUAUAAUAAUAGUAGGAAAGAUGAUGCCCGACCCAUACUUAUUUUAGUAUUUGUAUUUUAGUUAUCACGAUAUCUACUCAUGCCUUACUUGUCAGCUCUAUGACCAUAGCUUAUAUCUGUGCACUUUAUAGAAAAUCAUAUACUCUCCCAGUCCCUGGUUUGAUAAGUUCCAAUUCACCCAACAGUACGAAUUAUGUUCUAUCAAUUCAGAAACUCCAAACUCAGGUCAUGGUGCUCAUGACUCAUGUAUUCAUGUUUUAGAGUGUACUCAGUUUCCAUGACUCAUGCUACACUCUUAAUGAUCAGCGAAAUACAGAUUUGUGUCACGUAUAUCCUCAGUUUAGACCUCUUUAAUGAAUUCAUGUCAUUUAUACUCAAUUCCUCAGGCUACAAUUAAGUGUCCAAGUUAUGCAUGGUAUUUCUUCCAUGCUUCAGGAUCUCAUGUUCUAACUUUUCAGUGACCUUUCUUUAUGAAAUGAUGGUGAUGAUGAGUAAUUUGUUUAGAUGUGAGAAAGUAAUUGUUUCAAUUUAUGAAAAGAAUGUUGCAUGCUUGUUUUACAUGAGGCGGUAGUAAUGAAGAUUGGCUUAAACAUCAUGUUGGUGCGUAAGUGGAUAUAUGCAUUAUGUGUUAGUGUAUGGCAAGUAAAAAGUUGUAUUUAGUUGUUAAUAGGGUAAUCAAAAUUAUUAAGGAGAUGGGAAGUUAUGAAAAUGCAUAGUGUAUUAAAUUUAUGACUCAGACUAGUAUUACAGUAUUAUGUGUGCAUUGUAUACAUUUGAGUUGGCUUGAACAUAGUGGAAGAAUUCAGUCCAGCUCAGACCUCAGUAGGUAGAUUUAUCGUGUCCAUAUGAAUAUUUUUUAGUAGCCUCAAGUGAAGUGCGGUGUUAAAGUAGAAAGUAUAGUUAAGGAAGUAGUUACGAAAUGUGGCUAAGAUUGUAAGUUAGUAGUUGUAUUGCAUAAGGCUUAGUAACUCUAUCCUAGCUGAUGUUUCAUAGGCCUUCGUUCAUAUUACAGAAUUUUAGCCAUGUUGUGAUUUCUUAUUCAGAUGUAUUAUUCAGAUGUCUUAUUCAGACCAUGCCAAGAUUUUCCACUCCUUAAUGUCAUUAGAACUUCAUGGAAAGAAUAUCGAAUAAAUACUCUAGUUAAGUAUAAUCUUUCAGUACGAGUUAGUUUGUAUAGCCAGUAAUUUGGUUUAGCAAUUAGGCAGACAAAUUCCUAUGGUUUUCAUCUCUCUUAUUCAGGAGGAAAUUCUUUCACGUCCAUACAAGUCAUAACUUUAGCUCAGUUCCUGCAUCGGGCAUUAGUUUUAGAUUCCAGAUAUUCAGUCAAGAUUCUUGUGUAUCAUCUUAGUAUUUCCUUAGUAUUUUAGCCAUGUCAGUGUCUUUUGGGGGGACAUAAUAUCCCAAGGGGGAGUGUAAUAUAAUCCCCCAAGAUUCCAUGUCCUAAACCUUCCAUUUUCUCUUCACGUAACAAGAUCUAGAUUAAAGUAAUGGGUACUCUUAUGUUGACUAUCAUUCCAAUCUCAGCCUUAUAACCAUUCUCAUGCCAUUGCAUGUAUUCAAGGAUAUCAAUUUAGUUCAUGAUAUUCAGUUCUUGAAUCACAUUUCGGACCUAGUUAUGUUCUCAUGUUCCCAAUCAUACAUGUUCAGUGUAUGAUCUCAAAUACUUAAAUACUAUCAGCUAAACCAGCCUCAUUUGAGGAUGAAUGUUUCCAAAGGGGAGAUAUUGUAAUAACCCAAAAAUUCAAAACAAUAUUAGAACCAUGCUUCAAGAUUAUGCCAAAUAAAUUAUAGUGAUUUGGUAUUUUAUUGAGUGAGUUUUAUGUGUAUUAAGGCCUCAAAUAACUCCUAGUUAUUAGACGAAUCAAAAUAUCCCUUAUCGAUUGAGUUCUUGAGAAGGUUGUUGCUAUAGUCAACUUCAAAUGAGCAUAUCAUUCGUUUUACUAAGAAUUUUUGAUCUUAUGACCCACCAACAAGUAUUUAAUUGAAUUAUAUUUCAAAUUAUAGCUAUUUUUCUUUAAUUUAAUAUCGGGGUAAAACAUUAUGCCCAUUUUACCAGAGAGUUGUCCGACUUCCGAAAUGCGACGGCCAGGUUGACGGACUGUCAAGACACUGAUGGACCAUCAAGCCAGGCCGUUAACUUUAGGUAGUGAGCUUAUUUUUGGGCCAUAAAUUAACGGAUUGAAAGACGAUCAGUCACCAGAGUGACGGUCCAUCAACCAAGCCUGCGGUCCAUCAACCAAGCCUGUUAAACAACGUAAUGAUGUUUUUAAUGAGCUUUUUGGGUCUUUUCCACCCUUUUUAAUCCCCAAUUCCAUCACCUUAAACAACAUAAAUCCUCAUUCAUCCUUAAAAUUAAAAUCUGGGUUACUUUGAAGAUCAUUCACCAAGAACAAGAUUCAAACACUUCUUCAAGAAACUAAGAAAUUCAAGUUCUUCAAGCUCUAGAACAAUCUAGAAAACAUCAAGCUUUUUGUUUCCCAAUCCAAGAACAUUCAAGAAACAUUAAUUCUCUUUUAAGAUUAAUGCUUUAAGGUAUGUCAAAUGUUCAUCCAUGGGUCAUUUCCAACCAUGGAGCCGAAGAACCCAACUUUAAAUUCAAAGUUGUGAUUUUUACAAGUUAUUGUGAUUUUAACCAUGAAUCCCCAUGAAUUUUUAUUUUAUUCCAAGUUUACAUGAAAUUAUAAUUGUUAUUAAUCCCCACACAUUUAAAUGGUGUUGUUCACUGAAUUAAACCUUAAUUGGUGAUUUUAGUAGGGAAAUCAUGCUAUUACAAUAAGCUUUAAAACUAUUCUCAUACUUAGCUUAAACCAUGAAUUACAAGUGUUCGAUGAAAUACCCAUAAGAAGGAGUUUUGAAUAAAUACUUACAUAUCAUGUCCUCAAAGUUUUAGUAAAAUCUUUCUAUUAUUGUAGAGUCCUUGGGGUUUGAAUACCCAACAUUUUGCUACUUACCUAGUUUUCAGUAUUUAUAGAAUGGUUACAAAAUAGUUACGAGCCCUAUCAUUUCAGUUAAUAUUUUCAAUAGUUAAGCAUAGUCAGUCCAACAUUUUAGGUCUUUCAGUUGGGAGUAGGAUUUAGCACUGAGCAAAUAUAGGGAUGACGGCUUCCCCGUCAGUUAGGUGGAGUCGUUAAUAGCAGUCCUUGAUUCCAAAACUACAUAGCCAGCGUAGCAUAUUGGCAGUCACCCAUCAGUUUAGGCUUGACAUUUUAGUUGUUUAGUAGCUUAGUGGAUUCACGCAUCCAUGUGUUCAGUAGCUUAGGAAUAUGCCUUGAAGUUUCAUCAAUUUUAAAGGUAUGCUCCUGAUUUAGUGGUUGACAUACGGGCAAGGAGGAGGAAAUUUACUUCUGGGUUGAAUCAGGAUUGGAUUUUUAAACCAAGACUUCCUUGUUGAUUAAAUAUAUAGAUAUCUCUAGGUUGACUAUUCAUAUGCAGUAGGUAGAGAAUAAGAAAAGGAAAUAGGCAGAGUUUAGAUAUAGGCAGAGUAAGUGGAACAGGUUUUUUGACUAGGGUGGUGCUCAGUUUUAGGGUGGUCGGGAUGGUGGAAAAUGGCAGAAAAAUAAGUGGGGGAGUUCUGGUUCCUACUCUUCUGCUAGUAAUCCUUAGGCAUCAUCAGGGUGGUGACAAUUUUUGGGUGUAGGGUGCCCAAUCUCAUGCAAAUAGAGGUCAGUCAGUUUCUUUAUUCCCUUCUUAUCGGUUUUAUGGUCAUCCUCAUCGGGGUUAUUAUGAUAAAGGAAAGGACAAAUUCUUCAAAUAUAGACAGGUAGGACAGUUAAUAAGGUUGCUAUAGGGGCGAAUAAGAUUCCUAUGGCUUCAUCUUCUGGUCCUACACCUGGUAGUGUUGCAUCUACUUCUAUUACUCUUCCUCAUUCUAGUGUUAGUCGAAAUAGGUUGUAUGCUUUGGCGACUUGAUAGGAAUCUAAGGGAUCACCUAAUGUCAUUACUACUACGUUACAACUUUUCUCUUAUGAAGUAUAUUAUUUUCUUGAUUUGGGGUCCAGUUUUUCCUAUGUGACUCCUUAUGCUGGUGUAUCUUUUGGUUUCAACCAAAAGUUAUUUCAAAUCCCUUUUUUGUUUCUACCCUAGUAGGUGUCACGCCCCAAAAUCCCAUCGGGCCGGACUGGCACCCGAAGCCGAGAAGGCCCGGGAGAACCCGUUCAAAUACCUGUACUUUCACUUACAUGUCACCAAAAAAAUUGGACAGCACUUCGUUGCAUAUAGAAAGGUCUAAUUACCUGUAUCAGCACAACACGCACAAAUAUAUAUAUAUAAUACUUGGCCGUCGGGGCCACCACAUAUACAAAUAUAACGUUACUAUAUAAACUUCCAUGACUUUACCCUUCCUUAUGUCUACAAAGCCUCUAGGAUAUACAUGACAUAACUAGGGUCGGGACAAACCCCCGCCCACACGUGACUCAUGUACAAUAACAAAACAUAAGGAACCGACUCGGAAAGCUCCGAAGCAAACUGGAGCUCACCAACAAUAGCUGUAUGACCUGGCUCCUACUUGUGCGGUGUAUGAGUUGAGGUACCUGUGCCUGCAGCAUGAAAUGCAGGUCCCCCGUGAGGGACGUCAGUACGAAAUAUGUACUGAGUAUGUAAAGCUGUAAAUAAUCACAUAUGAUAUAGGAGCUCAAUAGAAAUCAGAAACAAGUGAAUAAGUCGUAAUAGGAGUGGACCACACUUACUAGAACUUGUGACAACCUGUACAUUGUAUUUAUUCAAUCACUUUACCUUCGUUCUUAUCGUCUUUGUAAUCAUUACUGUACUGUACUGUGACCAUUAGGAUGCCUCCAGUACAUAUCAACUGGGAUCGACCCAUGCUAGGCUUAUGCCCCUGGGAUACCACCCAUAAACACAUGAAAUAGGGAUCGACCCAUGCUAGGCUUAUGCCCCUGGGAUACCACCCGAUAAGAGAGAACUUUCAUCACUUAGUUCAAUUAAUCUUUGAGAUUGUUAUUUCGGUCGUCACCACAUUUUUGAUACCUUGAAACAAUGAUACAUCAAUAGGAACCAAGUAAUAGACCUUCUAUACAAUAACGAUGUAAUAAGGACUCAUUGGUACAUCAACAAUAUGUUUCAGAAUCAUCAAUAUCACAACAAUGAAAUAAGAGCCUUUUGGUAUAUCAAUGAACAUUUUGACACUUUAUAGGAUGGAAACAACUUCGUUGGUAACGUAGAACAAUACAUGUUUUUGGACAACCUCGGAAUCUUACUUGAUGGAACAUUGGUGUUUUCAUGCCAAAGAACAUUGUUAGAGUAUGCUUUACAUACCUCGUUGUAGAUUCAGCUACCAAUUCAACACAACUUCCCGCCUUUACAAAUCACUUAUCUACAAUGAAAUGUUUGGCAUCUAGUAUUAGCAACCCAACACCACAAUUCUCUUCCAUAAUUCCAUACUACCAAUAUUUGCAAAACAUUCCAAAAACCAACUUGAACAAUAGGUUUAUGUGUGUAUAUGUAUAUAAUCAUCAUCUCAAUACCACAUCAUCAAUACCACAUCAUCACCCCAAAUUCCUUCACAAUUUAACAUAAUCCAACCAUGCACAAGAAUAAUCCAACAUCAUUUCCAAUCAUCUUUCAACAACAAUCAAAUAACAUACUUCUUAUGCUCACAUGCAUAUAUAUAUAUAUAUACAUAUCCAUAUAAAUAACACCAACAUAAUUUACAUCCUUACCAAAAAAAAUGGCCCUUUUGAUUUCGAAGUCCUGUUGGCACAAAUAAGGGGUGCUUCUCGAAGCCCUUGAGACGGUGAACACAACUACGGAAUCAAUUUGGAUUUUCUACGGUUGAAUCACAAGAUAAUUGGAGUUGAACUUAGGCUAGGGUUUCUUAUUCUUCAAUGAUUUGGAUGAUAAAUGGUGGAUAUAAGGCUAAGUAUAUGUAUAUAAUGACCAAUUUUCGUCCAUGAGGUGAUGGAAAAUGACCAUAUUGCCCUUAAAAAUUUAAGUAAAUCCGAAUCUGUCCAUGGUGGACUGUUUUGAUAGGCUAAAGUAAAUCGGCCAUAACUCUUUGCUCCGAUAUCGGAUUUGGGUGAAAUUGGUAUCGUUAGAAAGAUAAUUCAAAGGUAUUUCAUUUAAUAUAAAUUAAUCCACCCAGUUCGUCCUGUACAAGUAGUUAUGAUCGUUUGAAGUUGACCCUAAAAAUCUGUUUUGAGAGGCUGAAGUAAAACGAGUAUAACUCCUUACUCAGAUGUUGGAUUUGGAUGAAACCAAUUUCAUUGGAAAGAAGACUCAAAGAUCUUUCUUUUGAUAUAUGGUAGCUCAACCAGUUCAUUAUAUUGAGGGAGUUAUGAUCGUUCAAAGUUGACCCAAAAAACUGGCAGGCCUCAGUAGUUUCCUGCACAUUUUACUGUUCACAUCCCGGCCACCGUUUUAAAGUUUCGAACGAGCUCGCUUAUAUCCGAAACUUAUCCGUUUUUGGAAAUCUUUAUAUCGUUGGAAAGCUUAUUCAAUAACCUUCGUAUGGAACCAUCGACGGGAAAAUUCCGAUAUAAAUAAAGUCGAUUCCUAUACACCUAUAAUCAAACUAUACACUUGAAACCAUCUCAAAAUAAUCAAUACUCAUACUUAAACUCAUAUAUACCUAACUUAGGAUCAAUACAUAUACCCCAACACAUAUAACAAUGACUAAUGCACGUAAUUAAGUACGGGGUGUUACAUCCUUCCCCCCUUAAGGACAUUCGUCCUCGAAUGUGAAUGUAGUUAUUUAGCCGAAACAAGUUCAAGUCCACCAUUAACAUUCACAUCAUCACAUAAAUACUAUGCAUAUAUAAACAAAAACUUACUUGUUAAUGUUCUAACUCCGUUUCUUGAACUUCCUCUUCAUCUUUGAACAAAUGAGGGUACUUAGAUUUCAUUGCUUCCUCAGCUUCCCAUGUAAUCUCUUCCCUUUGUUGAUUUCUCCAAAGUACCUUUACUGAUGCCAUUUCUUUGUUCCUUAACUUUUUAACUUGGCGAUCUAGAAUAGCAACCGGUACCUCUUCAUAAGUAAGAUCCUCUGUGACCUGUACAUCUUCUAUAGGAGUGAUACGAGAGGGGUCACCUAUGCAUUUUCGAAGCAUUGACACAUGAAACACUGGAUGAACCAUUGAAAGUUCCUGGGGUAGCUCUAAUUCAUAUGCAACUUGUCCGACCCUCUUGGUAAUCUUAUAUGGCCCUAUGUAACGUGGGCUUAGUUUCCCUUUUUUACCAAAUCUCAUAACCCCUUUCAUUGGUGAUACCUUUAAAAAUACCCAAUCUCCAAUAGAGAAUUCCAGCCCUCUUCUCCGAAUAUCUGCAUAUGAUUUAUGACGACUUUGGGCUGUUUUUAGCCGUUGUUGUAUCACCUUGACUUUUUCUAUGGCUUGAUACACAAGAUCCGGUCCGAACAUAAGAGUUUCACCCGCUUCGAACCAUCCUAUUGGUGAUCUACACUUUCUCCCAUAUAAAGCUUCAUAUGGUGCCAUUUUGAUACUUGAAUGAUAGCUAUUAUUGUAGGCAAACUCAAUAAGAGGUAAAUGAUCAUCCCAGCUGCCUUUAAAAUCUAUAACACAUGCUCGUAGCAUAUCUUCAAGUGUUUGAAUGGUGCGCUCUGCUUGUCCAUCCGUCUGAGGGUGAAAAGCUGUACUCAGAUUCACUUGUGUUCCCAAACCCCGUUGGAAAGACUUCCAAAAGUUUGCAGUAAAUUGAGUUCCCCGAUCCGAUAUAAUAGAAGUUGGCACUCCAUGUAAUCGGACUAUUUCUUUAACAUACAGCUUCGAAUAUUCUUCAACUGUGUAAGUGGUCUUAACGGGUAAGAAAUGUGCGGAUUUAGUAAGCCUAUCCACAAUCACCCAUAUAGAAUCAAAUUUUCGAGCUGUACGAGGCAAACCUGUAACAAAAUCCAUGUUGAUCAUGUCCCACUUCCAAAUUGGAAGAUCUAUGCAUUGCAUAUAGCCUCCGGGUUUUUGGUGCUCAACUUUAACUCUUUGACAAUUUGGACAUUCAGCUACAAAUUCUGCAAUGCUCUUCUUCAUGUCAUUCCACCAAUACAUAUCUUUCAAAUCUUGAUACAUUUUGGUUGAUCCUGGAUGAAUGGAAUACCUUGAAAAAUGUGCCUCUGUCAUAAUCUUCUUUCUUAGCCCGUCUAUAUCCGGCACACACAAUCGGUUUUGGCACUGAAGUACUCCUUCUCGCGUAAGCUCAAAUGCCUUGGUCGCACCACUCUGAACGUUCUCCUUAAGAUGUAAUAAAAUAGGAUCUGCAUAUUGCUUCUCUUUCACUUCAGCUACUAAUGAAGAUUCCGCAGCAUUAUGUACGAUAAGCUCUUUAUUCGGAGUUUCAAGAAGGCGAACUCCCAAACUAGCUAACUGGUGAAGAUCUUUAACCAUCCCUUGCCUUUCUAUAGGCGCCAUCAUAGCCUUACGACUUAACGCAUCAGCUACCACAUUUGCUUUCCCUGGAUGGUACAAGAUAUCAACAUCAUAGUCCUUUAAUAGUUCAAGCCAUCUCCGCUGCCUUAAAUUUAGAUCCUUCUGAUUAAAAAUAUAUUGCAAGCUCUUAUGGUCAGUAUAUAUAUCAACGUGAACCCCAUAUAAGUAGUGGCGCCAUAUCUUUAAAGCAAAAAUAACCGCUGCCAGCUCAAGAUCGUGUGUAGGAUAAUUUUUCUCAUGUGGCCGUAAUUGUCUAGAAGCAUAUGCUAUUACCUUACCAUGCUGCAUCAAUACACAUCCUAAACCAAUUCUGGAAGCAUCACAAUACACUGUAUACCCUUCGGUGCCUUCUGGUAGUACCAACACGGGUGUAGAAAUCAACUUGUUCUUUAAAUCUUGAAAACUCUUCUCACAGGCAUCAUUCCAUUGGAAUUUGGAUGCUUUAUGGGUUAGCUUGGUUAAGGGUGCUGAAAUGGAAGAAAAGUCUUUGACAAACCUUCUAUAAUAACCGGCCAACCCAAGAAAACUACGAAUCUCCGUAGGCGUUGUGGGCCUUGGCCAGUUCUUCACAGCCUCUAUCUUUUGAGCAUCAACCUUUAUCCCUUCACUAGAUACAAUAUGACCCAAAAAUGCCACCGACUUUAACCAAAACUCACAUUUAGAGAACUUUGCAUAAAGCUUACAAUCACGAAGAGUCUGCAAUGCCUGUCGUAAGUGAUUGGCAUGGUCCUCUUCUGAUCUAGAAUAAACUAGAAUAUCAUCUAUAAAAACUAUCACAAAUACAUCCAGGAAUGGCUUAAAAACCCUAUUCAUCAAAUCCAUAAAAGCUGCGGGUGCAUUUGUUAGCCCAAAUGACAUAACUAGAAACUCAUAAUGACCAUACCUUGUUCGGAAAGCUGUUUUGGGUAUAUCUUUUUCUUUGACCCUCACUUGGUGGUAACCUGACCUCAAAUCAAUCUUAGAAAAGCACUUGGCGCCCUGUAACUGAUCAAAUAAAUCAUCAAUUCUUGGGAGAGGAUAUUUAUUCUUAAUAGUCACCUUAUUCAAUUGCCGAUAAUCAAUACACAUCCUCAGCGAGCCAUCCUUUUUGCGUACAAAUAACACUGGUGCUCCCCAAGGGGAAAUACUAGGCCUAAUGAACCCCUUUUCUAGCAAAUCUUUCAAUUGCUCUUUCAAUUCUCGUAAUUCUGCUGGGGCCAUUCUAUACGGAGGAAUGGAGAUUGGUUGGGUGCCUGGUAUUACAUCAAUACCAAACUCUACUUCUCGUUCAGGAGGCAAACCUGGAAGAUCUUCAGGAAAUACAUCAGAAAAUUCAUUUACCACCGGAACAGCGUGAAGAGUUGGUGGCUCCGCUUCUGUAUCCCUUACUCUAGAAAGAAACCCAUGAAUGAACAUCCACAUACCUUAAUAGAUGAUUUCUUGAAGAUUUCUUGAGGGUUUCUUGAAUUUGAAGCUUGAGUUCCUUGGUUUUUUAGGGAGAAAAAAAUUGAAAUUGGUGAUUUUGAGAAAGUGGGAAGGGUUUUCUUGAGAUGGAUUUAGAGAAGAAGGGCAAAUAAUGCUCUAAAUGAUGUCUCAAUUCGUGUUAUGCAUGAUUUGGGUUGAGGGGAACAGACACAAUUUCCCCUCAGGCAAUUAAAUUCAUAACUGGGCAUAACAUACUUACCGCAACGCGGUCUAAUUGAAGUCAUCCAUUUCCCUUACCGCAACGCAGUGAGCAUGCAAAUGGAAAUAUUAAAGCGACGCAGCCGUAUCGCAGUGACUUUCUGGAUUUGUGAUCCAAACAUGACCGAAACCUCAUUCAAAAAAUUUGAAACUUCUCUAAGACAUGCUCCUUACAUCCCUGAAUAUGAAUUAACUCAAAAACCAACACCUUAGGAUCGGGAAGACCAAUCGAAAAAUCCUCGAAGUUAAGAGGACUUAUAAAUGACUAAUUCCCCAACACUUAGUGAAAUUUUUAGGCCUUAAGCCCCUUAUGCAUACAACUAGAAGAUGAACUGACCUAAUAAUAAUAUGGGGUAUUAUAGAAGUGCUGAAAGAAAGACUUAAUCAAAUAAUAAUUAAGCUAAGAAAAAUAGAGAACUUAAUCAAAUGGACGAGAAACCAGAUUGAAUCCAUAAUAUGAUAACUUAAUGAUAAAUCAAGUGAAGAAGAUAACACAAACAAUUUAGAAAGACACCCUAAUCACUCAAUCUAAGCUAACAAUUGAAAUUGAACCCAAUUACUGCCCUAAUAUCGAAUAACUAAAUAUCAAUUCUAUUCAAGACAAUUCACUUUUCCAAAUCUAAGUGAUGAAAAUGGAUAAAGAAACUAUUUAUAGUCAGUGCCUUUACAGAAAAAGUCUAUUACAAAAAUCUCCCUAAUGUGACCAUUUUACAAAUAACUCACAAGGGACCUUCUUAAUUGGCCAAAUGGCAUCUUGAUUGCCAAUGACCUUAUGUAUCUAUUUCUUCAUGCCUUCCUUCAAACUCCAAGAUAUCAUCCAUACAUGGAAGACCCUCCUAAUAUGUUCCAAGCUAAUCAUGAUCCACUUCAUCAAAAGAAUUCAUCCACGAAUCCAAACUUUUUUAAAAAAUGAGAAGGAAAAACAACAAACAUAUCAUCGUAGCAUGAGGUUUAACACAAGGAUUAUCAAUAACAAAUUUAUGGCCAUGCCAAGGGUGUACACAUUUAACAUAUAACCAAGCAAAAAAAUGAGUCAUAAAUGGUUUGUCACCCAACAAAAAUUGAUAUACUUGGCUACAUAGGAAACAUUGACAAAGGGGCAAAUCAAAAGAACCAUGGUGUUUAGGCAACCACUGAUACAAGUCCUCAAUGGUUCUAAAUUUAGAAAAAAAAAUCUCCCUUUAAGUCAUGUAACACAUGAUAACCCAUAUAACUAUGUUUCAUGUCAUAAAUGAGGUCAUUCCAAGUCAAUACUCUAUCCAAUGCACUAACUAUCUUAAAGAAUAGAAUUACUCCUAAUUCAUCAUUGGAGAUUAAAUACGAAGGUAUUCUCUACAUAAUUUGGCAAAUAUAUCUUAUUAAACAUAUAAGAUCAAGUAAUAACACCAAGCAAUAAUCAUAUGAGAGAAAAAAUAUGUUACUACUAUACUUACCACCACGCAAGCCAACAACCUCACCCACAACUUUCUUGUCAUUUGAACCAAGUAUUUUAUCACAAACGCCACUAUUCAAAUCAUUACCAGGACAAAAGGAAAAGGCAAUCCAUAAACAUGGGUAAAAUCAUACACCUAUUUGCCCCAUUGACACUCUACUCUCACAUAACAUACUCCACUCAAAGGAAAGAGUAUCAUCAUAUGCAAAAAAAGUGGUAUAGAAAGGUGUUACUUAAAUAAAGUUUAUUUAAGGUGUGCCCACAUAUAGAAUCACCCUUUGAUCUACAAGCAUUAAGCCCUUGAUCAAGCAUGGGUUCACACAAGAAUGAAUAGGUCAUUGGAGAACAUACACCCCCUUCUUUUGGACCACUAACCCCUCCAAUUGACAAACUAUCAUCUUUUAAGAAGAGAGUUUUGUCUUUAAAAAAUGUGUCAUCAUACCAUAGUGGAUUUUUGAUCACUUGUGUCACGCCCCAAAAUCCCAUCGGGCCGGACUGGCACCCGAAGCCGAGAAGGCCCGGGAGAACCCGUUCAAAUACCUGUACUUUCACUUACAUGUCACCAAAAAAAUUGGACAGCACUUCGUUGCAUAUAGAAAGGUCUAAUUACCUGUAUCAGCACAACACGCACAAAUAUAUAUAUAUAAUACUUGGCCGUCGGGGCCACCACAUAUACAAAUAUAACGUUACUAUAUAAACUUCCAUGACUUUACCCUUCCUUAUGUCUACAAAGCCUCUAGGAUAUACAUGACAUAACUAGGGUCGGGACAAACCCCCGCCCACACGUGACUCAUGUACAAUAACAAAACAUAAGGAACCGACUCGGAAAGCUCCGAAGCAAACUGGAGCUCACCAACAAUAGCUGUAUGACCUGGCUCCUACUUGUGCGGUGUAUGAGUUGAGGUACCUGUGCCUGCAGCAUGAAAUGCAGGUCCCCCGUGAGGGACGUCAGUACGAAAUAUGUACUGAGUAUGUAAAGCUGUAAAUAAUCACAUAUGAUAUAGGAGCUCAAUAGAAAUCAGAAACAAGUGAAUAAGUCGUAAUAGGAGUGGACCACACUUACUAGAACUUGUGACAACCUGUACAUUGUAUUUAUUCAAUCACUUUACCUUCGUUCUUAUCGUCUUUGUAAUCAUUACUGUACUGUACUGUGACCAUUAGGAUGCCUCCAGUACAUAUCAACUGGGAUCGACCCAUGCUAGGCUUAUGCCCCUGGGAUACCACCCAUAAACACAUGAAAUAGGGAUCGACCCAUGCUAGGCUUAUGCCCCUGGGAUACCACCCGAUAAGAGAGAACUUUCAUCACUUAGUUCAAUUAAUCUUUGAGAUUGUUAUUUCGGUCGUCACCACAUUUUUGAUACCUUGAAACAAUGAUACAUCAAUAGGAACCAAGUAAUAGACCUUCUAUACAAUAACGAUGUAAUAAGGACUCAUUGGUACAUCAACAAUAUGUUUCAGAAUCAUCAAUAUCACAACAAUGAAAUAAGAGCCUUUUGGUAUAUCAAUGAACAUUUUGACACUUUAUAGGAUGGAAACAACUUCGUUGGUAACGUAGAACAAUACAUGUUUUUGGACAACCUCGGAAUCUUACUUGAUGGAACAUUGGUGUUUUCAUGCCAAAGAACAUUGUUAGAGUAUGCUUUACAUACCUCGUUGUAGAUUCAGAUACCAAUUCAACACAACUUCCCGCCUUUACAAAUCACUUAUCUACAAUGAAAUGUUUGGCAUCUAGUAUUAGCAACCCAACACCACAAUUCUCUUCCAUAAUUCCAUACUACCAAUAUUUGCAAAACAUUCCAAAAACCAACUUGAACAAUAGGUUUAUGUGUGUAUAUGUAUAUAAUCAUCAUCUCAAUACCACAUCAUCAAUACCACAUCAUCACCCCAAAUUCCUUCACAAUUUAACAUAAUCCAACCAUGCACAAGAAUAAUCCAACAUCAUUUCCAAUCAUCUUUCAACAACAAUCAAAUAACAUACUUCUUAUGCUCACAUGCAUAUAUAUAUAUAUAUACAUAUCCAUAUAAAUAACACCAACAUAAUUUACAUCCUUACCAAAAAAAAUGGCCCUUUUGAUUUCGAAGUCCUGUUGGCACAAAUAAGGGGUGCUUCUCGAAGCCCUUGAGACGGUGAACACAACUACGGAAUCAAUUUGGAUUUUCUACGGUUGAAUCACAAGAUAAUUGGAGUUGAACUUAGGCUAGGGUUUCUUAUUCUUCAAUGAUUUGGAUGAUAAAUGGUGGAUAUAAGGCUAAGUAUAUGUAUAUAAUGACCAAUUUUCGUCCAUGAGGUGAUGGAAAAUGACCAUAUUGCCCUUAAAAAUUUAAGUAAAUCCGAAUCUGUCCAUGGUGGACUGUUUUGAUAGGCUAAAGUAAAUCGGCCAUAACUCUUUGCUCCGAUAUCGGAUUUGGGUGAAAUUGGUAUCGUUAGAAAGAUAAUUCAAAGGUCUUUCAUUUAAUAUAAAUUAAUCCACCCAGUUCGUCCUGUACAAGUAGUUAUGAUCGUUUGAAGUUGACCCUAAAAAUCUGUUUUGAGAGGCUGAAGUAAAACGAGUAUAACUCCUUACUCAGAUGUUGGAUUUGGAUGAAACCAAUUUCAUUGGAAAGAAGACUCAAAGAUCUUUCUUUUGAUAUAUGGUAGCUCAACCAGUUCAUUAUAUUGAGGGAGUUAUGAUCGUUCAAAGUUGACCCAAAAAACUGGCAGGCCUCAGUAGUUUCCUGCACAUUUUACUGUUCACAUCCCGGCCACCGUUUUAAAGUUUCGAACGAGCUCGCUUAUAUCCGAAACUUAUCCGUUUUUGGAAAUCUUUAUAUCGUUGGAAAGCUUAUUCAAUAACCUUCGUAUGGAACCAUCGACGGGAAAAUUCCGAUAUAAAUAAAGUCGAUUCCUAUACACCUAUAAUCAAACUAUACACUUGAAACCAUCUCAAAAUAAUCAAUACUCAUACUUAAACUCAUAUAUACCUAACUUAGGAUCAAUACAUAUACCCCAACACAUAUAACAAUGACUAAUGCACGUAAUUAAGUACGGGGUGUUACAGUAGGUAACUCAGUUAUUGCUAAGAAAGUCUAUAGGGGGUUUGUGGUAUCUGUUGGUGGCAAGCAAACCUUGGUGGAUCUAUUUAAGUUGGAUAUAGUGGAUUUUUAUGUCAUUCUGGGUAUGGGUUGGCUGCACUCUUUUUACACAUCCUUGGAUUGUUAGACCCAUAAAGUUAUCUUUAGGUUCCCUGGUGAACCGGUUAUAGAGUGGGAGGUUAUUUCUUUAUCUCCCAGGGGGAGUUUUAUUUGUUAUCUAAGAGCUCGGAGGUUAAUCUCUAAAGGUUGUUUUUAUGACAUAGUCUGGGUUAAGGAUUCUAACUCGAAAGGUCCUUCUGUCCAGUUAUUUCCAGCUAUUAAUGAGUUUCUAGAGGUAUUUUUGGAUGAUCUUCUUGGUGUUUCUUCAAAUAAGGAAAUAGAGUUUGGUAUUGAUUUAAUUUUGGAUACUCGUCUAAUUUCUAUUCCUCUAUAUAGAAUGGCUCUGGAUGAGUUAAGGUAACUCAAGGAGCAACUUAAGGAUUUUAUGGAUAAGGGGUUUAUUCAUCCUAGUGUAUCUCCUUGGGGUGCACCGGUGUUUGUGUACAAGAAAGAUGGUUCCCUUCAGCUGUGCAUUGACUUUAGGUAGUUGAACAAGGUGACGGUCAAGAACAAGUAUCCUGUUUAAGGAUAUAUGAUCUAUUUUACCAGUUGUAAUGUGCCAAGUUCUUUUCCAUGAUACAUCUUCGAUCAGGGUACCAUCAUGUAAUACCCCGUAUUUUUGUAUUGGAAUUCUAACCAUCGUUCCUAAGCGUCUAAGCUCUAAUCCAAGUGAUUCUCACAUGAAUACAAGUUGCAUGAUCAUUAUCUUAGUCUAUGGAGUAGUUUAGAGGUGAAAAAUAUUCAUAGCAAUGACCUAGAACAAAGCUGAGCUAAGACCAAUUGAUUCAUCCAAAGUUUGACAUUCAAUUCUACAAGGGUCAACUUCAAACUUGAAUAUCUCUUAAUAUACAUGGAAUUUAUCAUCCCAAGACCUAUCAAGUUGUAGAUAAUUGAAUUAGCUUUCCAAUGAUACUAAUUUCAUCAAAAUUUGACACCCGAGCAAGGAGUUAUGGCUUUGCAAAGCAGAGUGCGUUGCCUAACCAAUCGCACGUGGCUACUGGAAUAGGUGUGCGAUAAACAAUGUGGCGCAUACUUAAAUGUGUGCGAUAAUCAAUGCGGUGCAUACUUAAAUAUGUGCGAUAAUCAAUGCGGUGCAUAUUUAAAUGUGUGCGAUAAAUAAUGUAGCGCAUACUUAAAUGUGUGCGAUAAGCAAUGCGCCGCAUACCUCACUUCCAAGUGCCAAAAACACCCCUAUAUAUGUCUAUAACACGGGAUUAAAAUCUCAUAACACCAAAAUAAGUUUACUUUCUCUCAAAAUCACCAAGAACAUUCAUUAGGGUUUCAACCUAAAAAUUCAAAUAUUUCAAGAUUCAACCAUGAGUUUUCAAUAAGUCUUUGAGAUUCGGAAUCCCCAUUCCGAGGGAUACAAGAAACACUCAUUAUUUUCACGAAUAGAGUCCCAAGGUCAAGAUUUCAUUCAAAGCUUUAAUUGUAAGGUAUGUGGGGUUUUUCAACAAGAACAUUCUUUCGUUCUUGUGCCCAAAAUUUGUAUUAUUUUACAAAGAUAUAGAUUUUACAUGCUUUGAUAUGAAUUUGAGAUAGAAACUAUUAUCCUACGUUCUUGUUCAAAAUACUAUUAUAUUUUUAUGAUGUCUUGAAGAUAAAUUCCUUGAGUUUUGAUAUUAAUAUCAUGUUUGAAGUUGAAUCUCCAGAUUUUCAUAUGAAUUAUACAUGUUUGCUACAUAAAGUGUGAAUCUUGAAAUAUUUUGCUCAAGUAUUGAUAUAUGGGUUUUGAACCCUAUUUGAGAAUUAUAAUUUUUGUGAAAGUAAAGUGUUAUGCACACCUUGAGAUUUGAAUGAUUUGACCUUUUGGUCUUGAAAGAGUUAUUUUUGAACUCGAAUGAGAAAAGAAAUCCACAUUUUGAUUUAUUACGAAAAAGGGGUAGCAUGAUGGCUCCCGUUGUGAAUUGCUGAAUUAUUUUAUGGUGGAUUUUCUUUGAAAAUAUCUGAGCUAAGUCCGGGAGCAGUCUUUAGCACCGAGUGGGAGGUAUAGCUGUGUUGGUACUUCCCUAUAACUACGUGCCCCCGUAGGAUCCGAAAUUGAGGCUGAUUAUAUAUAGUGAUCACUAGUUUUUGGAUUUGAUACUUAUAGUCCUACUCUGAUGGCAAGGAUAGGACAGCUCUCCCCAAUGUGGGUUGUACGUUAGACUCCAUGUCGCUCACAUGGUUUAUGUCGGUUAUGAGAUCACCCAAUGUGUGUGUGUAUUCUCCUUUCUAAUAUGAAAAGUGUUAUUCUUCUAUCUGAGAAGAAAAUAUAUUUGUUUGAAAGAAUGAAUUUGAGAAAGUCAUUGUUUUCGAAAGAUUUAAUGAACAUAUAUUCCAAAGAGAAUUGUUAUGAUAUUUGAUUGCUUUAAUAAUUUAGAAUCGAGAUAGAAGUGAAUUGAGAUUUAUUAUGAUAACUCACAUAUUUCACCCGAUAUAUUUUAAUCUCUUAUGAUUAUGAUGAUUUUAAUUCGAGCUAAGUGAAUCGUUUAUAUUAGCAUGCAUAAUUUUAUAAACUGUGAUGAUAUUACGACAUUAUUUUAUAUAUGCAUUACACCCCCAUAUGCUCGGUACAUUUCCAUGGUACCGACCUAUAUAUUUGUAUAUGGGCUAUAUUUUCUUGGAAUGUAGGUACAAGGUAUAGUGUAUAUCUUCAGAUCCAGUCAGUUCACGACAUCCAGUCAGCAGGUGAUGAGUUCUUUUGAUUUAAGGGCUUGAGUUAGUUAUAUAGUUCGAGAAGUGUUGUAUUUUCUUUAUUCAAUCAUAUUGAGUUGGGUUAGUUGGGAGUCAUGACCCAGCUACCUACAGUCAGUACUAGUAGAGGCUUCAUAGACAGUCAAUAGAAGUUAAUGUAUUCCAUUUCAAUUUUGGUUGUAAAAGCAGAGUUGUAAUCUUGUAAAUUUAGUUUUGUAUCUAUAAUAUUCAGAAAAGAGUUAUUUUCUGCAGAUUUGUAUAGAUUUAUACUUUUUUUCAAUUGCUUAUGAGUUAUGCCAGUAGAAGGGUUAGCUUGGGUUCACUUGUGAUCCUAAGCACCGUGUGAAGUCUCAGGAUCCAAUUUUGGGGUGUUACAAACUUGGUAUCAGAGCACAGAGUUCAAGUGUCCUAGGGUGUCUAUGAACCGUGUCUAUUAGAGUCUUGCGGAAUGGUACGGAGAUGUCUAUACUUUUCUUCGAGAGGCUACAGGGCAUUUAGAAAAUGUCUCCAUUCUUUCAAGUCUUAAAUCGUGCUAUUGAAAAGUUCUCCAAGAAAUUUAUAUAGAUUCUCAUCUUACUCUCUAUUCCUAUGGAAUGGGGCAUAAGUCGCACCCUCUAAUCCAUAGUAAUAGAGCAUGUGAUGCAUGCUAAUCGCAUGGUGCGCAUGGUACCUCUAGAGGUUGUCCUCUAAAUUUCGGCUAAGUAUUGGUCCUUUCUCCUUUCAUACCUUGUCUUGUGGUGUCUUUCCAAUGAUUUUCAAGCAUAUAUAUCAUCCAUAUAUCAUCAUAUUAAGCUCACAAAGGAUCCUACAAGAAUACAACACACGAAUUAGAGUUACAAACAAUGAUAUAUCCAUAAUGAUGAAUCAAAAUAAGAGCUCACAAAGGAUCCUACAAGAAUACAAUACACGAAUUAGAGUUACAAACAAUGAUAUAUCCAUAAUGAUGAAUCAAAAUAAGAGCUUAGACUAGGCAAAUUUCCAUGAUCUUCCACUCAAUGUUUUGACUCCUUCCUUGACUCAAUUGAACUUUGUACACUUAUAACAAGUUGUUACACAUAUAAUAACAUCAUUAAAAACCACAAGGAAUACUUGAAGCACCAAAGAAUCCAAUAAGUUAGACUAGACAAGCAACUAGCUCAAGCUAGUAACACUAGUUUCUCCAAUUGAACUCUAAUUGACUCUUUGAAGUACAAACUUGUUAGAAAACACUUGUAACCAUUGAAAACAUGUUUUCACACUUUGUUACACAUUUAUCUCAUUAUCUACCAAUAUAGCAUAGAAUCAUCCUUAAAACAAGGCUAAAACGACUAGAAUAGCGACCCUAGAAUCCAUAAAUACACCCAACAUCAAGCAUUUACCUAAGGUGGACUUUGCUUACAACAAUAGCUAUUAUUAAAUAUUAGUAUGUCCCUUUUUGAGGCAUUUUAUGGUAGGAGGUGUAUUUCUUCUAUUGGUUGGUUUAAACUUAGUGAGACAGACAUAUUUGGUUCUUAUUUGGUUUACCAGGUUAUGAAGAAGGUAAAGGUGAUUCGAGAUAAGCUUAAGGCUGCCCAAAGUCACCAAAAGUCCUAUUCAGAUGUUAGGUGUAGAGACUUGGAAUUUGAGGUUGGGGAUAAGGUUUUCCUCAAAGUAUCUCCCAUGAAGGGAGUAAUGCGGUUUGGCAAGAAGGGGAAGCUCAGUCCUUGAUAUGUGGGCCCUUAUGAGAUUUUGCGAAGAGUUGGUAAUAUUUCUUAUGAGCUGGAGUUGCCUUCUAGCUUGAGCUUGGUUCUUCGGUCUUUCAUGUUUCCAUGAUGAGGAAGUAAAUUGGUGAUCUUUCUUCGGUUGUUCCUUUGGAAAGAUUGGGUCUCAUGGAUUCUUUGCCUUAUGAAAAGGUCCCGAUUGAGAUCUUGGAUAGGAAGGUUUAUCGAUUGCGGACCAAGGAUGUGGCUUUGAUUAAGGUUAUUUGGCGGAACCAUAAGGUGGAAGAAGAUACAUGGGAAGCAGAGGAGGACAUGAAGUCCAAAUAUCCGCAUUUAUUUUCUGCUUCUAAAAUUCGUGCGGAAGGUAUGUGUCUUCAACACAUCUUUAUUUUCUGAGUUUGUUAAAGGAAAGAUUAGUAUCUUUUCCUCUUUGUUAUCAAACUUUUUUAAAGAUUGGGAAUAUAUAUAUUUGAUAAAGCAAAUGACUCGUGCGUGUGGUUACCCCUACAUUGUCCGUCAUUUGGGGAUGAAUGCUCCUAGUGGGGGAGACUGUAACACCCUUGGGUUUUGACCCUAAGAAAAUUUCCUGGAAUUUUGGUCUCUGGACCCAAUACGACUUAAGGGUAUAAGUUGUAUGUUGUUGUACGGAUGGUAUGGUCCAGUCGUAUACUGACCAGUGUUGAUUGGUGGGAUGGAUUUUGGUUAAUAGAAAGGAUACGACUUAGGGUUACGAGUUGCAUUGGUGGUUACGGAUCAUUUGGUUCCUAAACUUAAUCUUAGACUUAGUUACUUGGGUUGGAUCUGAGUACGAGUGGCUCACUGUGAACGUAAGCGAGGGUAUAAGUCAUACCAUGGACUCAUAUGAUAGACAAUGUCCAAUCCUCCUACUAUUUUAUUUUGCUAGGGAUACGGGUCAUGGUUAUGGAUCGUAUGUUGUGAUCAUGACUUGGUGGGAUGAUUCAUAUGCUAGACAGUGUUGGAUCCGAGAGUUGAGGCCAGGAUACGAGUAAAGGAUACCAAUCGUAUUGGAGGGAACGACUCGUAUGGGUCAAUCGUACCCCUGUGAUGGGAUUUUGGUGCAACUUAAGUGAGGGUAUUCUUGACAUUUCCCCACUUAUACUAAUAACGUCCCUUGACUUCUAACCUAUGUGGGAGGUUAUUUACACUAUUAUUCCAUUCAUUAACCCUUAUAAACUUUUCUAAAACACUCCAGAAUUCUCUCAAGAACUUUUGGGCAAGGGAAGAUAGGGUUUCAACUAAAGGAUCGAUUUGGGACUUGUCUUGGUGAUUUAUUUUUGUCAUCAUCUUGGUUUAAGGCAUGUUCUCUUCCCUCAUUGUUAAUUAUCAUAAGAAUCCUUUCCUCCCUUCCUCCUUCAGUGAUUUCUUAGAUGUCGAGAGAAGGAGAAGAAAUUGAUGUACUAGUACUCUAGUUGCCGCCUCUUGUUUUCUCUUAAAUCCUUUGAUUUUUCUUAGUUGGUGGGAAAGAAGAAACAGAGGAAUAAUAGUAAUAUCUAUGUCACUAGUAUUUUUCUUUAAUUUUUUCAUUUUUCCCAUUUACAAUUCUUUUCUUGUUAAGUACUAGUACUAUACGUUAGUUUCCCCAAAACCAAAAUCCUUUUUUUGUUUCCCCUUAUUACUUACUUCACUUCAGUAAAUUUGAGGAACUAAAGUGGGCCCUACUUNNNNNNNNNNNNNNNNNNNNNNNNNNNNNNNNNNNNNNNNNNCAACCAUAUAACUUAUAUACUCUAUAAUUAUAUGCAUAUGUAUACACUAUGAUUCUCCUUAAAAUACGUCCAGCCCGUGACUCUUUAUAAAUUCAGGGUCAUGCUCGAUUAAAGUAUUAAACUUGGAUUCAAAAACUUUUGAGGUGUUACAAGGGAUGGCAUACGAAACACAUCAAGUAGAGCACUACAAUGCUGAUGGACACAAGAGUGACAUACUACUUACCUAUAAGAGGGCUACUAACCCUGUACAUACCAGAUACCAAAAACACACAAAACAUCUUUUAGCCUAGUUUACCACAGAAAUGAUGUCAUCUGCAGCAAAAGAAUUCAGGAAGCAUCAUUUGGCUCCUAAACAUUGGUCUGAUGAAGCUUGAACGACUCUUACUUUGAAAUAACACAAGACCCUAUAGCGAAAGAUUCAUGUCAUUUCUCAAGUAUACAUCAUAACUUUGUGAAAAUACAAAAUGUGUACUUGUUGCAAUUAACCAUUGAAGCUUAUCUCUUUCCGCGAACCCAACAAACAACUGGAAGUUGCAAUCACUAUUGCUAAAAGAAUUAUGAGUCAUAGGAGUCUCUACUUGGAGUCUUCUAUUACUCCGAAGUUGGCUAUACUUGAGAUGAUGCAGCUGAUAGAGGAAACGGUUCUACAUAUAGAUUUUAAUAGAUCAUCUAAAAUGGAAAGUGAUGGGGAGACUUGGGAACAUUUGGCACAAAAAAAUAAAGUUGAGCCAUUUAGAGCUCAUCAGUCGGACCUCAAGGAUUGCUCCUGGACACAUACUUGUUUGUGCUACAGAAAACUAUUGAGCGACGCCACAGUCGCUGCCAGAUAAAAUUGUGGAUAUCACAUACUUGUAGUUUGAAUGUUCAAAUCAAAAGGAGGAAUUUGGAUUUGCUCGAAGUGCUAGGGGCUGACAUCAGAGCAAAAAUUUCUAAUUUAAAUAUUGUUGAAAUGAGUAUUACUUCUAUGAUCAAGAAUCUUGCUCAAUUACUUUGGUGCAGCAUUGAAGCUAACAAGAGCUAUCCAUAUGGCCAAGUUUAUAAAGUGUUAUCUCUUUCGUUUUGUCUGAAUGGUAGUGAAGCUUAUGAUUGAUGGAAGGAAGAGGAUGGUUAAUUUCUUCCAUCAUUGUGUCGUCCUUAAAAUUGAAUUCUGGAACUCCCAAGUCAAGCUUUCUUACUGGAAGGUGAAAUUGCAUGAGCUAAAGCAAGUUAUGGAAUAUUUGCAGCAGUAGUAAUUUACUAUAAGGACGCACUUAGCUACACCUUAAAGCUAAUUACUGAUCAAAGGCCUGAAGCAUUUGACAAGGAAACUGGUUCCACCUCAAGAAAAGCUGCAGCACUCUUGCAUAGCCUUUUGAGGCUUCUAAACCAUGGAGCAUUCCAUAAUUGUCAAAAAGAAUCACUGGAGCAUUGCAGCAAAAUAUCACUGGCCUCAUCAUUUCUAUCUUCACAUUUUCAGUGUGGAGGACAAGGUUGUUAUAAGGGGAAAGGAGUAACGAUUUAGGGGUAUGUAGUUAAUUUUUAAUUUACUAGUUAAUCCUUAGCUUUUAGUCUUUGAUGUCUAGUUAACCCAGAAUAGACCCAAAUGGCUACUAGCUAAUUGGUGACCAUAUGUUAAUUUUUAUUUGGGUUGUAGGUUUGAUGUCAUAGUAGGGACAGCUGUCUAACAACAACAACAACGAACCCAGUAUAUUCCCACAUAGUGGGGUCUAGGGAGGGUAAAAUGUACGCAGUCCUUACCACUACCUCCGAAGAAAUAGAGAGGUGGUUUUCGAUAGACCCCCGGCUCAGAAUAAAAGAACAGCAAACAUAGUCGUAAUAAAAUAUGAAACAAUACACUAGCAACCUAAAGGCACACACCUUCCCCCAACCCUCUUAACUAGAAGCUGAAACCUAUAUACAAAGCCCUAAGACUAUUAGCCAAGCUACACCAAUACACUCCUAACUACUGACUAUGACUCACCCACACGCACUAGCUCUUUAACCUAAUCUGCAUCCUCCAUACCUUCCUAUCUAGGUUCAUGUCCUCUUUAAGUUGUAACUGCUCUAUGUCAUGUCUAAUCACCUCUCUCCAGUAUUUAUUCGGCCUACCUCUACCUCAUCUGAAACCAUUCACGGCCAACCUCUCACACCUACGACUGGGCAUCAGUGCCCCUCCUCAUCACACACUAAACCAUCUCAACUUCACUUCUGACAUCUUGUACUCCACUGACGCCACUCCUACCUUCUAUCGAAUAGUCUUCUUCCUAACCUUGUCACCCAUAGUAAGUCUACACAUCCAAUGCAACAUCCUCACUUCCGCCACCUUCAACUUUUGGAUGUGAGAGUUCUUGACUAGCCAACACUCCACGCCAUAUAGCAUGGCUGGACGAAGUGCAACUCUAUAGAAUUUGCCUUUAAGCUUGGUAGGCACCUUGUUAUCAUACAAAACUCUCGAGGUGAACCUCCAUUUCAUCCAUCCUACCACAAUACUGUGAGAGACAUCCUCGUCAAUCUCUCUAUUUCUAUGAAUCAUAGACCCAAGAUAAUUAAAACUAUCCCUCUUACAAAUAACCUGGGAAUCCAUCUUCACGACCACCUCGUCCUCCUGCCUCAAGUCAUUAAACUUGCAUUCUAACUACUCCGUCUUGGUCCUACUCAACCUGAACUCUUUAGACUCUAGGGUUUGUCUCAAAACCUCCAAUUUAUCAUUAACACCCCACCCCCACUCCUACAUGUCUCAUCAAUCAACACUACUUCAUCCACAAAUAGCAUACACCAAGACACCUCUCUUUGGAUACGUCGCGUCAACGCAUCCAUCACCAAGGCGAAUAAAAAUAGACUAAGAGUUGAUCCCUGGUGCAACCCUAUCAAGACAGGGAAAUGCCCUGAAUCUCCUCCCACCAUCCUCACCCGAGUCUUUGCUCCAUCAUACAUGUCCUUAAAUGAUCUGAUGUACGCCACCGAGACCUUUCUUGCCUCCAAGCAUCUCCAAAGAACCUCCUUAGGCACUGUCGUACGCCUUUUGCAAGUCGAUGAACACCAUAUAUAAGUCCCUCUUCCCCUCCCUAUACUGCUCCACCAGUCUCCACAUAAGGUGAAUUGCCUGUGCCGUCGAGUGACCAGACAUAAAUCCAAAUUAAUUCUCAAAAAUAGACACAACUCAAAUCUAGUAAAUAAUUAUUCAUAGUAAAUAAUAGUGAACAAUGUAUGAGAAAGGACAUAGUUUAAGGUGAGAUUCCAUGGUGUAUGUUAUUUCCAGAUGACAUAAUCUUGAUUCACGAGACUUACAAUAGAGAUAACGAUAAGAGAGAGGUUUCGAGACGGACCCUAGAAUCUUAAAAGUUCGGAUUGAGCAAGACUAAGAUGUAUGUUGCGUAGACUCUUCAAAAAAGUCAUCGAGGGUGUGUUGAAUCCUUCAAAAAUAGUGUUUUCCGGAGGAUCUGACAUGAGAGCGGUCUCAAUUUGGAAGAGUACGAGCAACUUAGACCAAGAUGGUACUUUGAGUGCAAAUUCAGUGACGUAAAGCAUGAGGUGGAUGUAUAAGUAAGACUUCAUGUACAAGUCAUCCAAAAGAGAGGAAGUUUCAAGUUCUUGGGUCUAUAAUCCAAGGUUAUUAGGAGAUUGAUGAGGAUAUCACUCACCGUAUUGGUGCAAGGUAGAUGAAAUGGAGGCUCGCAUCUGAAGACUUGUGUGAUAAGAAAGUGCCACCAAAACUUAAAGGCAAGUUCUACAGAGUGGUAAUUCAACCAACUAUGUUGUAUCGAACGGAGUAUUAACUAGUCAAGAAUUCUCAUAUUCAGAAGUUGAAAUUUGCAGAAAUAAGGAUGAUGUGAUGGAUAUAUGGCAAUACUAGGAGAGAUAGGAUUAGAAAUGAGGAUAUCUGGGACAAUAUGGGAGUGACUUUGGUGGAGGACAAGCUAUGGGAAGUGAGAUUGAGAUGGCUCGGGUAUGUGAAGAGAAGAUGUCUGAAUGCCCCAGUGUGAAGGUCUGAGAUGAUGGCUAAGGAUAGUUUCAGUAGAGGUAGAGGUAGGCCGAAGAAGUUUUGAUAAAGGUGAUUCGACAAGACGUGGCAUAAUUUUAGAUUACUAAGAACAUGAUCGUAGAUAGAAAGUUGUGGAGGACGGAUUAGGGUAGAAAGUUAGUAUGUAGCAACGCAUUGUCGUGUUAUCUGUCCAUGCUAGUAGUUAUAGUAUUGCUCCAGUAGUUUCUUUUCCUUCAAUUUCUAUUGUUAUUUGUUGUUUCUUGUACUUUGACCAUCAUAUUAUUUUGUUGUAGUUUCUUUUUGGUUACAUGUGUUGUUUUUGUACUUCUGUUACUUCUUGUUUGGACUACUUUGGAAGAUUUUUCUCAAAUUGAGGGUCUAUUGGAGAUAGCUUCUCUACCACUAAGGCAGGAGUAAGGUCUGCAUACAUUCUACCUUCCCUAAACCCCACUGCGUGGGAUUAUAUUUGGUUACCUGUUGCAGUGAUGAGAAAGGAACAAGCUGAAUAAGAAUAUCUUUCUUCCUGCCUCUCUCUUUCUUCCUAUCUCGCUCUUUUCUUCUUUCUUUGUUCCCAUUUGUCCAUUGUUGAGCUCACCAGAACUCUUCCUAUUGUUGCACAUUCUUUUGUUGAUAAGGUAAAAGUUAUCUUAGUCAUCAGUCAUUUAACCUAUAUAUUCCAGAUUCAUAAACAGUCAAACAAAAUGUUUAUGAAACAAGAUAGCAAUCACACAAUGUAUUCAACCUCUUGGCAUCUCUCCAAACACAAAAUUCGCCACACCAAAGACAGUCACGUAUUUCUUUUAGAUGACAGUCAUUCAAUACAAUGCCAAAGGACUGCUUAUCUCAGUUGUGGAAAAUUUUCAGCUUGAGCGAGCUGAAAAGGCACUCUAAGACGUACCCAAAAGCACCCCACACUUGCUUAUAAUCAGCUCCCAAUGUCUGCUGUUUACUCAGACUUCACCAAAGACUGAGCUUCUCACUCAAGCAAUUCGUCGAACAUCUCAUAUGCAUAAUACAGUUAAGGUAUCACAAGCAAUAUGAGUUGGUGCCGACCCGCGCAAUUACGUGGGAAUUACAGUGCAACGACAAAAAUAUGGAAACUCAAACCACAAUAUUAUGUAUUAAUUGCAAAAUACUUUCAAUUUACAGGGGUUAGUGGAGUUGGGAAACAGGGGUUGCAUCACAAGGUAGAGUGCAAGAGAGAAAACAACAAG
rnacentral:lncRNA from 1 species